CCGUGCUAGGCGGGGAGAUAGCGGUUCCCUGUAUCCGCAAUCCGCUCUAGCGGGGCUGAAUUCCCUUCCGAGGGAUGGAGGCCCUCGGGGUCAGCGUGCCGUUCAAGGCGUUGAUGGCCGGGUCCCGCGCGUUGCAGGCCCGUGAACCAGGUCAGGUCCGGAAGGAAGCAGCCUUAAGCGGUAGCCGGCAGGCGCAGCGGGAGUGCCCGACCGGAGCCAGCGACCGGCAUCAGCGCCCGGGGACCCGUUUCGACGGAGGGUGCACGG
rnacentral:SRP_RNA from 1 species